GCGUCUAUAGUUCAAUGGAUAGAAUAUCGGCCUCCGAAGCCGGUGAUGAAGGUUCGACUCCUUCUAGGCGCACCC
rnacentral:tRNA from 1 species